rnacentral:tRNA from 1 species
UCUCUGGUGGUCCAGUGGUUAAGACUCUGUGCUCCCAACCCAGGGGCCAAAGGUUCAAUCCCUUGUUGGAGAA